rnacentral:rRNA from 1 species
AUUGAACGCUGGCGGCAGGCCUAACACAUGCAAGUCGAGCGAGCGGCGGACGGGUGAGUAAUGUAUGGGGACUGCCUGAUAGAGGGGGAUAACUACUGGAAACGGUAGCUAAUACCGCAUACUAUCGGAUAACCCAUAUGGGAUUAGCUAGUAGGUGAGGUAAUGGCUCACCUAGGCGACGAUGCCUAGCUGGUCUGAGCGGAUGAUCAGCCACACUGGGACUGAGACACGGCCCAGACUCCUGCGGAGGCAGCAGUGGGGAAUAUUGCACAAUGGGUGCGAGCCUGAUGCAGCCAUGCCGCGUGUAUGAAGAAGGCCCUAGGGCUGUAAAGUACUGUCAGUAGGGAGGCGUUACCGACAGAAGAAGCACCGGCUAACUCCGUGCCAGCAGCCGCGGUAAUAC